AACGUAGGAACCGAGCGUUAUCCGAAUUUACUGGGCGUAAAGCGCGUGUAGGUGGCUCGAUAAGUUGGGUGUAAAAGCUCCUGGCUCAACUAGGAGAGGCCGCUCAAAACUGUCGGGCUUGAGAACGGUAGAGGGAGGUGGAAUUCCCGGUGUAGUGGUGAAAUGCGUAGAUAUCGGGAGGAACACCAGUGGCGAAGGCGGCCUCCUGGACCAUUUCUGACACUGAGACGCGAAAGCUAGGGGAGCGAACGGGAUUAGAUACCCCGGUAGUCCUAGCUGUAAACGAUGUGGACUUGGCGUCGGUAGUGUAAAAUCUGUCGGUGCCGUAGCUAACGCGGUAAGUCCACCGCCUGGGAACUACGGCCGCAAGGUUAAAACUCAAAGGAAUUGGCGGGGGCCCGCACAAGCAGCGGAGCGUGUGGUUUAAUUCGAUGCUACGCGAAGAACCUUACCCGGGUUUGACAUAUGGGUAACGGGAUAGCCGAAAGGUUGUCCCUCCCUCGGGAGGCCCAUACAGGUGCUGCAUGGCUGUCGUCAGCUCGUGUCGUGAGAUGUCCGGUUAAGUCCGGUAACGAGCGCAACCCCUGCUGUAUGUUACAUGUGUCAUACAGGACUGCCAGCUCAAUGCUGGAGGAAGGCGGGGAUGACGUCAAGUCAGCAUGGCCUUUAUGUCCGGGGCUACACACACGCUACAAUGGUCAGUACAAUAGGUUGCAAAACCGCGAGGUGGAGCCAAUCCAUAAAGCUGGCCUCAGUUCGGAUUGCAGGCUGUAACUCGCCUGCAUGAAGCUGGAGUUGCUAGUAACCGCGCGUCAGCAAUAGUGCGGUGAAUACGUUCCCGGGCCU
rnacentral:rRNA from 1 species